AAGUACCUACGGGGGGCAGCAGUGGGGAAUAUUGCACAAUGGGGGAAACCCUGAUGCAGCGACGCCGCGUGAGCGAAGAAGUAUUUCGGUAUGUAAGGCUCUAUCAGCAGGGAAGAAAAAAAUGACGGUACCUGAGUAAGAAGCACCGGCUAAAUACGUGCCAGCAGCCGCGGUAAUACGGAGGAUCCGAGCGUUAUCCGGAUUCAUUGGGUUUAAAGGGUGCGUAGGUUGUUUUAUAAGUUAGCGGUGAAAUACCGAUGCUCAACAUCGGGGCUGCCGCUAAUACUGUAGGACUAGAGAUCGGA
rnacentral:rRNA from 1 species